AGAGGUUUGAUCAUGGCUCAGGACGAACGCUGGCGGCGUGGAUUAGGCAUGCAAGUCGAACGGUAUAAACCUUUCGGGGUUUAGAGAGUGGCGAACGGGUGAGUAACACGUAGGUAAUCUACCCUCAAAACGGGGACAACCCAGGGAAACUUGGGCUAAUACCGGAUGCGUGCAAGCAAUGUUUUGGCUGUUAAUGCUAUUCACGGAAGUGAGUAGUGUUAAUGGUUGAGAGCAUUAUUUGCAUAAAAGGUGGCGUAUGCUGCCGUUUGAGGAUGAGCCUGCGUCCUAUUAGUUAGUUGGUGAGGUAAUGGCUUACCAAGGCGAUGAUAGGUAGGCGGCCUUAACGGGUGGUCGCCCACACUGGGAUUGAGAGACGGCCCAGACUCCUACGGGAGGCAGCAGUCGAGAAUAGUCUACAAUGGACGGAAGUCUGAUAGUGCGACGCCGCGUGAACGAAGAAUCCCUUCGGGGUGUAAAGUUCUUUUAUACGUGAGCAGUGCCCUUUAUAUGAAUAGUAUAGAGGGAGGGAUUUAAGCGUAUGAAUAAGCAACGGCUAACUCCGUGCCAGCAGCCGCGGUAACACGGGGGUUGCAAGCGUUGUCCGGAAUUACUAGGCGUAAAGUGCAGGUAGGCGGAUAGAUAAGUUUAAGGUUAAAGGCUACGGCUUACCCGUAGUAAGGCGUUAGAUACUGUUUAUCUGGAAUGCGGUUGAGGGAGACAGAAUUCCUGGUGUAGCGGUGGAAUGCGCAGAGAUCAGGAGGAAUACCGAAGGCGAAGGCAGUCUUCUAAGCCGAUAUUGACGCUAAACUGCGAAGGUGUGGGGAUCAAACAGGAUUAGAUACCCUGGUAGUCCACACAGUAAACGAUAAUCACUAGGUGUUGGGUUCGUAUAGGACUCGGUGCCGGAGCUAACGCGAUAAGUGAUUCGCCUGGGGAGUACGAUCGCAAGGUUGAAACUCAAAUGAAUUGACGG
rnacentral:rRNA from 1 species